GACGAACGCUGGCGGCGUGCUUAACACAUGCAAGUCGAGCGGUAAGGCUCCUUCGGGAGUACACGAGCGGCGAACGGGUGAGUAACACGUGAGUAAUCUGCCCUUCACUUCGGGAUAACCACCGGAAACGGUGGCUAAUACCGAAUACGACCAGUCUUCGCAUGAGGUGCUGGUGGAAAGUCUUUUCGGUGAAGGAUGUGCUCGCGGCCUAUCAGCUUUUUGGUGGGGUAAUGGCCUACCAAGGCUUCGACGGGUAGCCGGCCUGAGAGGGUGACCGGCCACGCUGGGACUGAGACACGGCCCAGACUCCUACGGGAGGCAGCAGUGGGGAAGAUUGGACAAUGGGCGAAAGCCUGAUCCAGCAACGCCGCGUGAGGGAUGACGGCCUUCGGGUUGUAAACCUCUUUCAGUACCGACGAAGCGCCCUGUCGGGUGGUGACGGUAGGUACAGAAGAAGGACCGGCCAACUACGUG
rnacentral:rRNA from 1 species